rnacentral:rRNA from 1 species
UGAGGAAUAUUGGUCAAUGGGCGGGAGGCCUGAACCAGCCAAGUCGCGUGAGGGAGGAAGGUCCUACGGAUUGUAAACCUCUUUAGCCGGGGAGGCAACGUGCGCCACGCGUGGCGCAGUGAGAGUACCCGGAGAAUAAGCAUCGGCUAACUCCGUGCCAGCAGCCGCGGUAAUACGGAGGAUGCGAGCGUUAUCCGGAUUUAUUGGGUUUAAAGGGAGCGUAGGCCGGAGAUUAAGCGUGUUGUGAAAAUGUAGACGCUCAACGUCUGCACUGCAGCGCGAACUGGUUUCCUUGAGUACGCAUAAAGUGGGCGGAAUUCGUGGUGUAGCGGUGAAAUGCUUAGAUAUCACGAAGAACUCCGAUUGCGAAGGCAGCUCACGGGAGCGCAACUGACGCUGAAGCUCGAAAGUGCGGGUAUCGAACAGGAUUAGAUACCCUGGUAGU